UCUGGUUGAUCCUGCCAGUAGUCAUACGCUUGUCUCAAAGAUUAAGCCAUGCAUGUCUAAGUAUAAAGGUUACAUACAAUGAAACUGCGAAUGGCUCAUUCAAACAGUUAUAGUUUAUUUGGAUUUACACAUUAGUUAAAUGGAUAACCGUAGUAAUUCUAGGGCUAAUACAUGCGUUACGGGGGACUUUACGGAACCCCAGUAUUUAUUAGAUUCAAACCAAUAUUCCGAAGGUCUACUUGAGAUGAUUCAUGAUAACUGAUCGAAUUGCUGGUCUACCGGCAAUAAGUCAUUCAUGUUUCUGCUUCCCGUCAGCUUGAUGGUAGUGUAUUGGACAACCAUGGCAUUCACGGGCUAUCGGGGGAUUAGGGUUCGAUUCCGGAGAGGGAGCCUGAGAAACGGCUACCACUUCUACGGAAGGCAGCAGGCGCGAAAAUUAUCCAAUCCUGAUUCAGGGAGGUAGUGAAACAAAUAAUGAACUAGGAUUUAUCCUGGGGUCACAAUGGGCUUGAUUUGCAAACUUUAUUUAGCGAGGAACAAUUGGAGGGCAAGUCUGGUGCCAGCAGCCGCGGUAAUUCCAGCUCCAAUAGUGUAUAUUAAUGUUCCUGCAGUUAUUCGAUGCUCGUAGUUGGAUUUCUGGAGGCUGAGAUCGGAGGGUAGCCAAGGUUACCGCUGAACUCUUCCUUCAUCCACCUGUUAACGUUGUCCGGGAUUCGUUUCUCGGCUUCGGGCUCAGGCAUAUACUUUUACCCUUUUUCUAUAUUUAUUGUUUUGAGUAAAUUAUAGUGUUUCAGGCAGGCGUGCGCCGGAAUACUUUAGCAUGGAAUAAUCGAAUUGGACCGUGUAUUCUUAUUGAAUUCUUCCUUAUUGUUGGUUCAAGGACACGGAAAUGGUUAAUAGGGAUAGUGUUUUUAUUAUCAGGGGAGGCAUUAGUAUUUAAUUUCCAGAGGUGAAAUUCUUUGAAAUAUUAAAGACUAACUUAUGCGAAAGCAUUUAUUAUUGCCAAUAAUGUUUUCAUUAAUCAUUGAACGAAAGUUAGGGGAUCAAAGACGAUCAGAUACCGUCCUAGUCUUAACCAUAAACGUUGCCGACUAGGGAUCGGAGGGCGUGCACAUUCCGCCUUCGGCACCUUACGAGAAAUCAAAGUCUUUUGGGUUCUGGGGGUAGUAUGGUCGCAAGGCUGAAACUUAAAGGAAUUGACGGAAGGGCACCACCAGGAGUGGAGCUUGCGGCUCAAUUUGACUCAACAC
rnacentral:rRNA from 1 species